AGGACGUGGCAUGGGCUGGCGUCUACUUUGCGCCUCCAGGGGAGCAAGUGGGAAAUUUGCGCCCCCUUCCGGAUAACUGCUACCCGAACUGUGUCUUUUUGGCGCUCCUUUCAUCAUCAGCAUCCUUCAACUGCGCCAUCCUUACUUCCCGUUUCACCUGGUGCUCAGAGCAGUCCAUGAGGAUCUGCGCCAGGUCGCCAUGGGUGCAACAAAGUUCGCAGCGGGGCCAAGGUUGGCGUGAACCUCUGAAGCACCCGUCAAAGGUGCUUCAUGAAGCACCUGAAGCACCUCAGUCUACCACCACCACAUCACUGUCACCACCUAGCUUCGUCAUCCUUCUUCAAUGUAACCCACUGUCCGGAAUAAAGACGACAACGGGCCGUUCAUUCCAUUCACGCGAUGCAAGGCCAUCGCCAUGCUAAUAGCAAUGCCCUGAGCUCCCUGACGUGCGUGUAGGUGUGGUCUGCCCUACGUACCACAUGCUGGUAUAUAUCAUGAAGACCCGCACUCUUCUUGCCGUCACAGCUAUCCUCGUCAUUCAAGGCGCGUUAUCAACAGAAAACAUCAACGCGAGUCAACCUGAAGCAUUAAUUCACGACGACACAGGGUCCGAAAAACUUUUCCAUCCCGGCGUUCAUGCUGCGUUUCAUCGAGACGAAGAGGAGAGCGGCCAACCAACUCAAGAAGUCGUCUUCACAACGGGACCUGCGAGACAAGGCGAGAGGUGCACAUAGUCGACAAUACCGUCCACGACCAGCCCUGGAUUGUACUACCCAACCGUAGCCCCUGGACAUAUGCCGCAUUCUUUGGUCUCGGAUCAGUCUUCACCUUGCUCUUCGUCGCGUACAGUAUUGUGAGGUACAGACACUCUCAGGAGAAAACAGGCUACGAGAAAGUAAACAACAGCGAAUCUGACGAUCUUCCGCUACCACCGCUACCCGAUGAGCUAGCCGCUUCUGAAGAAGUGACAACGGCUGAAGAAGAGUCCAACAUAGAAGCGGAGCGGCUCGUGCUAAAUCCGUUGUUAGGAAACGACUUCGUGGUAAAUCAAAAUAAUACACAGCGCGAUAGGGAACGGUUUGCGAAAAGCCCACAAGAGGCAAGAGGACACGGCAGGCAAAGAUCUCUGUGGUCCAAGAUUGUGAAGUCUUCGAGGGAACUCGUUGUUCCCGGUAGUGUGUCGCACGACUCCACGACAGCGCAGAGGGGGAGUAGUCGGCCUCCGAGCAGCCUGCCGACCAUCGCUUCACACGUGGACUCCUUGAGGGAUUUAGCAGACGUAGAAAAAACGCUGUGGUGGAGGUCAAUGUGAGAAAGUGGUGCGCACUUUGUGGGCCCGAAACAGGUACCAUUACCGCGGGAACGCGGGGAUGAGAUGUUCGUUUCUCGGUGACUCUGGCCGCUUCUUCGAUGCGGCUUGGGUGUGUUUAGGUACGGACAGAAGGUGGUAGAGCGGGUGAAUAUUCUCUCUACUUCGAUCCUUGAGGAAUGGACGGACGAAAUUGCUUGAUGUGUACAGUUCGCAUGCAUACGAAAGAAAACGCUAACAGCGGUACUGAGGUUCCUAAACCGGGUGAUGAACAGGGGCAAUUAGUAUACGAACAUGUCAUGUUCGCACACCCCUUACGCUGAAGCGAUAAGAGUGGCCUGUCAUGAAUAAGCUUUACUCGCCUGAUGCAACACAUAUACAUGUAUGCGUCGCGACUUCUUCAACGUAGUGCUGAACCGCUAACGUAACACAGUUUGGCUGAAUGGCAAGGUUUUCUGUUCAGCAGUUACAUGUCCGGUGACGUCGGGAUCCUUGUUACAAUAUACCGCAGGUACAUUAAACAUAAUAAAAACGUCCCGUUCUUGGACGACACACAUCUGAA